rnacentral:rRNA from 1 species
GACGAACGCUGGCGGCGUGCUUAACACAUGCAAGUCGAACGAAGAGCGAUGGAAGCUUGCUUCUAUCAAUCUUAGUGGCGCACGGGUGAGUAACGCGUAAUCAACCUGCCCUUCAGAGGGGGACAACAGUUGGAAACGACUGCUAAUACCGCAUACGAUCUAAUCUCGGCAUCGAGGAUAGAUGAAAGGUGGCCUCUACAUGUAAACUAUCACUGAAGGCGGAGAUUGCGUCUGAUUAGCUAGUUGGAGGGGUAACGGCCCACCAAGGCGAUGAUCAGUAGCCGGUCUGAGAGGAUGAACGGCCACAUUGGGACUGAGACACGGCCCAGACUCCUACGGGAGGCAGCAGGGGGGAAUCUUCCGCAAUGGACGAAAGGCUGACGGAGCAACGCCGCGUGAGUGAUGACGGCCGUCGGGUUGUAAAGCUCUGUUAAUCGGGACGAAAGGCCUUCUUGCGAAUAGUGAGAAGGAUUGACGGUACCGGAAUAGAAAGCCACGGCUAACUACGUG